rnacentral:lncRNA from 7 species
GAUCUAAUGCACUCUAGUCUAGCAGGUGUACCAGCUUACUGUACCAACAAAAACAAUUCUGACUUGUCAGAAAAAAAAUCCCUCCGUCCGGAGUAUGUACCAAAGGGGGUAAGCUAUGUCAUGUGGUUGAGCAAUGUUGGUCAACUCGUUCUGGCUCCGAGUGUUGUAUAGCAUCAGACUGCCCUGAUGAACAGCCUAUU